rnacentral:rRNA from 1 species
GACAGAGGUGGCGAGCGUUGUUCGGAUUUAUUGGGCGUAAAGCGUACGCAGGCGGUUUGGUAAGUCAGGGGUGAAAGUCCACAGCUUAACUGUGGCACUGCCUUUGAUACUGCCUUUCUUGAGUAGAGUAGGGGGAAGCGGAAUUCCGAGUGUAGAGGUGAAAUUCGUAGAUAUUCGGAGGAACACCGGUGGCGAAGGCGGCUUCCUGGACUCUAACUGACGCUCAUGUACGAAAGCGUGGGUAGCAAACAGG